rnacentral:lncRNA from 1 species
UGUUGCUGUUGUUGUUGUUGUUGCUGUUGUUGUUGUUGUUGUUUUUGUUGUUCUUGUUGUCGUUGUUGUUGCUUUUGUACUUGUUGUUCUUAUUGUGGUUGUUGUUGUUGUUGUUGUUUUUGUUGUUGUUGUUGUUGUUGUUGUUGUAGUUGUUGUUGUUGUUGUUAUUGUCGUUGUUCUUGUUGUUGUUGUUAUUGUUGUGGUUCUUGUGGUUGUUG